UUAUUUCAAUUUUCUCUCACGAUACUAUUACACUAUAACUAAAAUUAUUUUUUCUUUAUUAAAUACUAAAACAAAACCUUAUACAAUUAUUUUUAAUAAUUUAAAUUUUAAAAACAAUAAAUUAAUAAAUAAAAUAUAAUCAAUUUAUAUUGAUUUGCACAAAAAUCUUUUCAAUGUAAAUGAAAUACUUUACUAAAUAAGCUUUAAAUUGCAUUCUAGAUACACUUUCCAGUACAUCUACUAUGUUACGACUUAUCUUACCUUAAUAAUAAGAGUGACGGGCGAUGUGUACAUAUUUUAGAGCUAAAAUCAAAUUAUUAAUCUUUAUAAUUUUACUAUCAAAUCCACCUUCAAUAAAUAUUUCAAAUUUAUAUUCGUAUAAAUAAUUUUAUUGUAACCCAUAUUUACUUAAACAUAAGCUACACCUUGAUCUGAUAUAUUUUUUAUUUUAAAAUUAUGAAAAUUAACCUUCUUAUAAAAUAUUCUAAUAACAACGGUAUAUAAACUGAUAACAAAUUUAAGUAAGGUCCAUCGUGGAUUAUCGAUUACAAAACAGGUUCCUCUGAAUAGACUAAAAUACCGCCAAAUUUUUUAAGUUUCAAGAACAUAGCUA
rnacentral:rRNA from 1 species